rnacentral:tRNA from 1 species
CCUGGUCGUUCAGAUGGUAAAGAAUCUGUCUGCAAUGCAGGAGACCUGGGUUCAAUCCCUGGAUCGGGA